GACGAACGCUGGCGGCGUGCUUAACACAUGCAAGUCGAACGGAAAGGCCCUGCUUUUGUGGGGUGCUCGAGUGGCGAACGGGUGAGUAACACGUGAGUAACCUGCCCUGGACUUUGGGAUAACUUCAGGAAACUGGGGCUAAUACCGGAUAGGAGCCCCUGCUGCAUGGUGGGGGUUGGAAAGUUUCGGCGGUUGGGGAUGGACUCGCGGCUUAUCAGCUUGUUGGUGGGGUAGUGGCUUACCAAGGCUUUGACGGGUAGCCGGCCUGAGAGGGUGGCCGGCCACAUUGGGACUAAGAUACGGAGCAGAGUCCUACGGGAGGCAGCAGUGGGGAGUAUUGCCCAAUGAGCGCGAGCGUGAUGCAGAAGCGCUGGGGGCGGGAUGACGGCCUUCGGGUAAUGAACCGCUUUCGCCUGUGACGAAGCGUGAGUGACGGUAAUGGGUAAAGAAGCACCGGCUAACUACGUG
rnacentral:rRNA from 1 species